AUGCUCAUUUUGGCAGUACAAAUACUAUAAUUGGAAUGAUACAGAGAUUGGCAUGGCCCCAGUGCAAGGAUGACCUGCAAAUUUGUGAAGUGUUCCAUAUUUAA
ensembl:snRNA U6 U6 spliceosomal RNA